rnacentral:lncRNA from 1 species
CCUUCUGUAGCUUUUCCUACUCACUUAGCAGCCUUCAGCUUUAUAAGUUCAAUACCCCAUGUGAGUGACAGUUAACUGAAGUUCCUUGGGUAAGAAACGUGCUGCUGGCUGCUUAGCAUGGUGUCCGUGUGUCCAGAGGAAGAACUGACUGAAGAGGGAAGACCCCCUUGGGUGUGGGUGGGAUUAUACAACAGGCUUGUGGCCUGGGAAGGGGAAAGGAAAAGAGAGAAGGGAAGAAGAAGGAAGACUCCAUUCUGCCUCUUCACAGGAGCUCCAGUCUUUGGCACUGCCUUUGGACAUUCAUCUCUGGGCUUCUGGUUCAGACCCUUCAGCCUUCCGGUGCAGACCCUCUGAUUUCCCGUACACUCUUGCAUGGGACUCUGCGGAUUUACCUACCUUCCUCAAUGGCCAUACUUCCGUGGCUAUAGUUUACGGGACCAUGAUUUCCACUGCUUCCACUUCUACAGUCUUUCUUCUGUGAACACUGCACGUGGUCUAAGAAGAAGUGUGGCAAUAGCUGAAUCCUCUGCCCCUGAGUCUGCCUUCUCCAGCCUGUCCUCAUCUAUACCCUUCCAGGAGCCCCUACACUCUGUGUAUUUUCUAGUAGUGUUGAUAAGUGGUCAUUUUUCAUAUUUUGUCUAAGUUUUAUACUGAUUUUCUGAAAAUGAGCCUUGUGUAGUGUUUAAAUCUUCAAUAGCAGAAAUCCAAAGAGUAACUAUGUGCAGUCUGUUGUGUGUGUGUGCGCACUAGAGACUGAACCUGCGGACAGUCUACUACUGAGCCAUACCUCCCCACUCAGCACUUUUUCAGUGUUUUUUUUAUCUUGAGACAGAGUCUUCUCAAGUCCAGCAGGAGGGGCUGACAUUUGUGACUUCCUUGCCUCAGCUUCUCUCACUGCUGAGACUACAAGCAUGCACCUUGUCUGGUGCUUGUGAUAAUUUUAAAGAUUAGAAGAGAGCUUUUAAAAUGUUUGCUUCCUUAAUGCUUUCAUUUCAUAACAGGGUUUUACACGUGUAAAAAUCCAACACUGUGGGUAUAAAAUAGCAAUUCCAUUUUAAAAUUUAUUUUGUUAUAACACUGUCAAAUAUAAAAAAGGUAAACAUUCAUCUUUGGUUAGUUAAAAUGAUAC